rnacentral:rRNA from 1 species
UUCUGGCUCAGGAUGAACGCUAGCUACAGGCUUAACACAUGCAAGUCGAGGGGCAGCAUGAAGUUUGCUUGCAAACUUGAUGGCGACCGGCGCACGGGUGAGUAACGCGUAUCCAACCUUCCCUAUAGUAGGGGAUAGCCCGUAGAAAUGCGGAUUAAUACCCUAUGUUGUAUUUUGAGGACAUCUGAUGAAUACCAAAGGUUCACCGCUAUAGGAUGGGGGAUGCGUCUGAUUAGGUAGUCGGCGGGGUAACGGCCCACCGAGCCAACGAUCAGUAGGGGUUCUGAGAGGAAGGUCCCCCACAUUGGAACUGAGACACGGUCCAAACUCCUACGGGAGGCAGCAGUGAGGAAUAUUGGUCAAUGGGCGAGAGCCUGAACCAGCCAAGUAGCGUGCAGGAUGACGGCCCUAUGGGUUGUAAACUGCCUUUAUGCGGGGAUAAAGUGAGGGACGUGUCCCUUAUUGUAGGUACCGCAUGAAUAAGGACCGGCUAAUUCCGUGCCAGCAGCCGC